CUCGUGGUUUUGGUGCAUAAUAGUAAAUACAGCGCCUCAAUCAACACAAAAUAAAAUCGAAGAAAUAACAGAUCACAUUAAAGGGGAGAAAUGGACAGAAGACCUUCUUACACUCUAACCCUACCAUAGUUGACAGCUGUCCCAAAUUUGCUGAGUUGACAGCUGUCCCAUGUUUUAGGCUCCUGUUCCAGACAGCCCCAUGUAUAAGACAACCCUUAUUUUUAAACCCCAAAU